AAAGGGAAGAACUUCUCUUGAACCUAUGGUUUCCUAAGGAGGACUGUACUGGCAGAAAUCUGCUUCACUAUUUUAGGAAUUACAGAAUCAGAGAACCAUUUGAGCUGGAUCCUUAAAGACCAUCUAGUCCAGCUCCCCUGCAAUGAACAGGCAUGCUGUCAUAACAACUACGACAAUUUGCAUUGGAGCAGCCAAAGAAAGGCAAAUGAUGGAUCACCAGAGCACAGUAAAAGCACUGUAGUAAUUAGCUCCUUCCAUGAAAAAUGUGCAAUUCCAGGAUCAACCUAGAAGCAACAAAUGGAAACAUCAGACAGAUGGGAAUUAGAGGAACCCAAAGAAACAAUAAGACGAUUAUUGAUAAGCAGUAAAAUUAGGAGACCUGAACCUUCAUAGAGUCCUCUAGAAGCCUGAGCAAUAACUGAGAAGCUCCAAGCCAUUCCUGGUUUGAGGUGAAGAAAACUUUAAGUCCCAUGUGUGUAUCUUUGGGCAGAUCCUGCAGAAGGAGGUGAAGAUGGGCUAAAAGUUAUUUUAAUAGAGGAAAGUAAUCUUCCAUGCACAAGAUCACAAAGUCCUACAAAUGUUCAUAAAUGGCCAACCUUUCCUCCGUUGUGCAGAGAAAACCAACAUCGCACCAUUCUGACUUUCUUUCUUUUCCCCUGUCUCUGCUCUCUCCUUAUGGCUGUGAGGCUCAGGCUGUGGAAUGCAAAUCCCAGACAUCUUUCAGCCACUUCCAGUUUUGAGUGUCCUUGCAUGAAUUCCUCAAGACAGAGUGCUUCAUCUCUUUUGCUGGUAUAAAACAAGAUGAAAACAAACAAGAAAAAAAAAAAAAAAAAAAAAGGAGGGGGGGAGGAGG